rnacentral:rRNA from 1 species
GUUGAACGCUGGCGGCAUGCUUUACACAUGCAAGUCGAACGGUAACAGGCCGCAAGGUGCUGACGAGUGGCGAACGGGUGAGUAAUGCAUCGGAACGUGCCCAGUCGUGGGGGAUAACGCAGCGAAAGCUGCGCUAAUACCGCAUACGAUCUAUGGAUGAAAGCGGGGGACCGUAAGGCCUCGCGCGAUUGGAGCGGCCGAUGUCAGAUUAGGUAGUUGGUGGGGUAAAGGCUCACCAAGCCAACGAUCUGUAGCUGGUCUGAGAGGACGACCAGCCACACUGGGACUGAGACACGGCCCAGACUCCUACGGGAGGCAGCAGUGGGGAAUUUUGGACAAUGGGCGCAAGCCUGAUCCAGCAAUGCCGCGUGCAGGAAGAAGGCCUUCGGGUUGUAAACUGCUUUUGUACGGAACGAAACGGUCCUGGUUAAUACCUGGGGCUAAUGACGGUACCGUAGAAUAAGCACCGGCUAACUACGUGCCAGCCGCCGCCGUAACAC